rnacentral:rRNA from 1 species
UACGUAGGGGGCAAGCGUUGUCCGGAAUCAUUGGGCGUAAAGAGCGUGUAGGCGGCUUGUUAAGUCUUGCGUGAAAUCUCGGGGCUCAACCCCGAGCGGUCGUGAGAAACUGGCAGGCUAGAGUGCGGGAGAGGAGAGUGGAAUUCCUGGUGUAGCGGUGAAAUGCGCAGAUAUCAGGAGGAACACCGGUGGCGAAGGCGGGUCUCUGGGCAACAACUGACGCUGAGGAGCGAAAGCGUGGGGAUCAAACAGG